AGUAGUUUGACUCCGUGGCUCGAGGACGACGCUGGCGGCGUGCUUAACACAUGCAAGUCGAACGGUAAGGCCCUUCGGGGUACACGAGUGGCGAACGGGUGAGUAACACGUGGGUGAUCUGCCCUGCACUUCGGGAUAAGCCUGGGAAACUGGGUCUAAUACCGGAUAGGACCAUGGACUUCACGGUUUGUGGUGGAAAGCUUUUGCGGUGUGGGAUGGGCCCGCGGCCUAUCAGCUUGUUGGUGGGGUAAUGGCCUACCAAGGCGACGACGGGUAGCCGGCCUGAGAGGGUGUCCGGCCACACUGGGACUGAGAUACGGCCCAGACUCCUACGGGAGGCAGCAGUGGGGAAUAUUGCACAAUGGGCGCAAGCCUGAUGCAGCGACGCCGCGUGAGGGAUGACGGCCUUCGGGUUGUAAACCUCUUUCAAUAGGGACGAAGCGCAAGUGACGGUACCUAUAGAAGAAGCACCGGCCAACUACGUG
rnacentral:rRNA from 1 species